GACAGAGGUCCCGAGCGUUAGGCGGAAUCACUGGGCUUAAAGCGUGUGUAGGCAGAUGCCUAAGUACCUUGUGAAAUCCCACGGCUCACCCGUGGAACUGCUUGGUAUACUGGGUGUCUUGAGCCACUUAGGGGCUACCGGAACAAAUGGUGGAGCGGUGAAAUGCGUAGAUAUCAUUUGGAACGCCAAUGGUGAAAACAGGUAGCUGGGAGUGUGCUGACGCUGAGACACGAAAGCCAGGGGAGCAAACGGG
rnacentral:rRNA from 1 species